UACGUAGGGUGCGAGCGUUAAUCGGAAUUACUGGGCGUAAAGCGCGCGUAGGCGGCUUUGUAAGUUAGAGGUGAAAGCCCGGGGCUCAACCCCGGAACUGCCUUUAAGACUGCAUCGCUUGAAUCCGGGAGAGGUGAGUGGAAUUCCGAGUGUAGAGGUGAAAUUCGUAGAUAUUCGGAAGAACACCAGUGGCGAAGGCGGCUCACUGGACCGGUAUUGACGCUGAGGUGCGAAAGCGUGGGGAGCAAACAGG
rnacentral:rRNA from 1 species